GGGAAACUGAGGCACGGAGCUCAGCGGGGUCUGCUCGUAGGGGAACCCAGGGACGGACGGCAUCCCCGGAGCGAAGGGAUCGGCGGGCGCUCCAGGCAUCGCCGGCGCUCCAGGAUUCCCCGGCCCCCGCGGCCCACCCGGACCCCAGGGAGCCACCGGCCCGCUGGGCCCCAAGGGACAGACGGGCGAGCCCGGCAUCGCGGGAUUCAAAGGCGAGCAGGGACCCAAGGGAGAGACGGGCCCCGCGGGACCCCAGGGCGCCCCCGGACCGGCGGGGGAGGAAGGCAAGAGAGGAGCCCGCGGAGAGCCCGGAGCUGCCGGACCUUUGGGGCCGCCUGGAGAGAGGGUCUGUGCUGCCCCCGGCCCCAAAAACCGGCCCUGA
rnacentral:lncRNA from 1 species